rnacentral:rRNA from 1 species
UCCUGGCUCAGGACGAACGCCUGGCGGCGUGCUUAACACAUGCAAGUCGAACGGUGAAGGGGCCUGCUUUUGUGGGUCCUGGAUGAGUGGCGAACGGGUGAGUAACACGUGAGUAACCUGCCCCCUUCUUCUGGAUAACCGCAUGAAAGUGUGGCUAAUACGGGAUAUUCUGGGUCUGUCGCAUGGUGGGCCUGGGAAAGGUUUUUUCCGGUGGGGGAUGGGCUCGCGGCCUAUCAGCUUGUUGGUGGGGUGAUGGCCUACCAAGGCGGUGACGGGUAGCCGGCCUGAGAGGGUGGACGGUCACACUGGGACUGAGACACGGCCCAGACUCCUACGGGAGGCAGCAGUGGGGAAUAUUGCACAAUGGGCGCAAGCCUGAUGCAGCGACGCCGCGUGAGGGAUGGAGGCCUUCGGGUUGUGAACCUCUUUCGCCAGUGAAGCAGGCCUGCUCCUUUUUUGUGGGUGGGUUGACGGUAGCUGGAUAAGAAGCGCCGGCUAACUACGUGCCAGCAGCCGCGGUAAUACGUAGGGCGCGAGCGUUGUCCGGAAUUAUUGGGCGUAAAGAGCUCGUAGGCGGCUGGUCGCGUCUGUCGUGAAAUCCUCUGGCUUAACUGGGGGCUUGCGGUGGGUACGGGCCGGCUUGAGUGCGGUAGGGGAGGCUGGAACUCCUGGUGUAGCGGUGGAAUGCGCAGAUAUCAGGAAGAACACCGGUGGCGAAGGGCGGGUCUCUGGGCCGUUACUGACGCUGAGGAGCGAAAGCGUGGGGAGCGAACAGGAUUAGAUACCCUGGUAGUCCACGCCGUAAAAGUUGGGCACUAGGUGUGGGGGGCCUUUUCCGGGUUUUCCGCGCCGUAGCUAACGCAUUAGGGUGCCCCCGCCUGGGGAGUACGGCCCGCAGGCUAAAACUUAAAAGAAAUUGACGGGGGCCCGCACAAGCGGCGGAGCAUGCGGAUUAAUUCGAUGCAACGGGAAGAACCUUACAAAGGCUUGACAUGUGCCGGUUUGCUCCCGGAGAACGGGGUUUCCUCCCUUGUGGGGGGCUGGUUUCACAGGUGGUGCAUGGUUUUCUUCAGCUCGUGUUCGUGAGAAUGUUGGGUUAAUUCCCGCAACGAGCGGGAACCCUUGUCUCGUGUUGCCAGCGACGUUGUGGUGGGAACUCGCGGAGAACUGCCGGGGUCGAACUCGGAGAAGGGUGGGGAUGACGUCGAAUCGUCGUGCCCACUUAUGUUCUUUGGGCUUCGCGGUGGCUACAAUAGCCGGUACGAGAGGCUGCGAAUACCGUAGAGUAAAGCGAGUUCCCUGAGACCGGUUCUCGGUUCGAUUCGGUGUCUCGGAGCGUAGCCGUUAGAUUGAUGUCGCGUGUGGUCCCGAUCCGGCGGACGCUACGGGGGAUACGUUC